GAUGAAGAACGUAGCGAAAUGCGAUAAGUAAUGUGAAUUGCAGAAUUCAGUGAAUCAUCGAAUCUUUGAACGCACAUUGCGCCCCUUGGUAUUCCAUGGGGCAUGCCUGUUCGAGCGUCAUUUGUACCUUCAAGCUCUGCUUGGUGUUGGGUGUUUGUCUCGCCUCUGCGCGCAGACUCGCCUCAAAACGAUUGGCAGCCGGCGUAUUGAUUUCGGAGCGCAGUACAUCUCGCGCUUUGACAACAAAACGACGACGUCCAAAAAGUACAUUUUUUACACUCUUGACCUCGGAUCAGGUAGGGAUACCCGCUGAACUUAAGCAUAUCAAUAAGCGGAGGA
rnacentral:misc_RNA from 1 species